AUUCCUUGAAUGUCAUCUGGAGGAAAUGCUCUGUGGCUGAGUGAUUCAAAAAAAAAAAAAAAAAUCUGUUCUUAUCAGUUUAAUAUCUGAUACGUCCCCUAUCUGGGGACCAUAUAUUAAAUGGAUUUUUGGGACAGGGAGAUGGAAGAAGAGCUUGCUCUGUCCACUCCACGCAUUGACCUGGUAUUGCAGUACCUCCAGGACCGGUGCACCUCUC
rnacentral:snRNA from 1 species